GGGGAAUUAGGUGACCCGGUCUAACACCGGGAUGUUCAUAACCCUUUGUUGUCCGACUCUGUUGCCUCCGGGGCGACCCUGCCUUCGGGCGGGGGCUCCGGGUGGACACUUCAAACUCUUGCGUAACUUUGCAGUCUGAGUAAACUUAAUUAAUAAAUUAAAACUUUUAACAACGGAUCUCUUGGUUCUGGCAUCGAUGAAGAACGCAGCGAAAUGCGAUAAGUAAUGUGAAUUGCAGAAUUCAGUGAAUCAUCGAAUCUUUGAACGCACAUUGCGCCCCCUGGUAUUCCGGGGGGCAUGCCUGUUCGAGCGUCAUUUCACCACUCAAGCCUCGCUUGGUAUUGGGCAUCGCGGUCCGCCGCGUGCCUCAAAUCGACCGGCUGGGUCUUCUGUCCCCUAAGCGUUGUGGAAACUAUUCGCUAAAGGGUGUUCGGGAGGCUACGCCGUAAAACAACCCCAUUUCUAAGGUUGACCUCGGAUCAGGUAGGGAUACCCGCUGAACUUAAGCAUAUCAAUAAGCGGAGGAAGACCUCGGAUCAGGUAGGGAUCCCCGCUCCC
rnacentral:rRNA from 1 species